rnacentral:tRNA from 1 species
GAAAGAAGUAGCUUAAAGUUAAAGCAUAACACUGAAAACGUUAAGAUAGCCAAAAACUCUCAUUCA